AGCAUUUGUUUCGUCACUUCGGGAAGGCUCAGCUGGUUCAUGGCUGGUAUCGUCUGAAUAAGAAAUAAGAAAAAGAAACAAGUUGGAGAAUGCAAUUGGGGAAUGAGCCAAAAGAAGCAUGCAAGGUGAGAGGCAGCCAUCAAACGUGGAGGCAGGAUAGCAAGAUGGGCAAAUAGGCAGAUCCUGGGGAUGAGACAGCAGCAUGUGGGUGAUGUGGAGUUUCUGUUCAGUCACUGGGGUGUGGAAUCAGACAAUGAGGAGGACAGAUGAUGAACUAUGUGGAAGAAAACCUUGAGUUCAAGAGACUAAUGAAAAAGAAACACGAGGCAGAUAUUUGGGGAGUGAGCAAAAGACAGAUCAAGAUAAGGAAAAGAAGAAAAAGAAGACAUGAUCCAAGACAAACUUUUUAUUUCUGUCAUGAAAGAAAUGUAAUAUUUCAAAGAAUAAAGGGUGUGUGAGCAAAAGAAUAUGAUUAUGAAAGAGUGAAAAU